GAAUCUACACUGAAGCAAUACAGACCGAAGUCUUGUGUUCAAAUCAUCAAUGUAUCUCGCUCACGAAUAUGAAGCUUGAGUGACAGCCGCCGAUGCAGCUUGGAUUGAAAACGUUAAAAAAAUCCAACCUACAUGGAGAAAGAUGCAUUAACUCCGAAACGACAUAUCUACAAGUUCGUUGUCGCACAGUUGACCUGCAUAACCAAGUUAUGUUCAAAGCAGGAUCAUCUUGAAAUGCUCAAUAGAACCAACGCAUGUGAUCCACGUUAUUUGGAUACAGACACUACGCCAUCUACUCCGCUAUAUAGAGUAUAUCGAUACAAGCUGUCUCAGUGAACCGCUGAUAUUAUUUCGGCAUGACGUAACAAAUAUGAAGUUCAGUUUAAAUGACGUCACUCAGCUGGUUCUAUGGGCAAAUAAUGAAUAAAAAUAUAACGUGAAAUAAAAGAACUGCCGGAGGAAGAGGAAAACGAAGAAAAGAGUCAAAGACGGAACAAAAAGCUCAAGAACGAAGAUGGAGCCAUAGCAUACCCAGACUAAGAUUUAUUCUUAGUCGAUGUAAAUACUAACUUAUGUGAGCUGUAGCAUAAAAAGUCCCUUUUAUUGAAUGCUUGUUUAAAAUUGAAUGUUUAUGUGUGGUACACGGGGUGUGGUGUGGGGUGGGGAAGUAUACGGAGAUCAAACGAUUAAGUCCACUUUUGUACACGUUAGUAACGUAACGUGGUUGGGAAUCUGGGGUUUUAUGUCUCCUUGUGUGUUGGUAUGUGUGUGUAAACAACCUGCAUAAGAACGGUGCGCGCAGGUCAGAUUUCUCCAACUUUAACCCAUACUCCUGGUGUCACUUAUCAGCAAGGCCGGACAGUCGGCAUCAGAUAGAUAGAAGUGACAUCGCUAUAACUAGGGAUCGCUGUUAGGAAGUUUAAGUUAGACAGUACUGGGACACUGCACCGGGCCGACACAACACGUGUCAUUGCACCCAGGCCUAUACAGCAGACCGUCCUGGUUUGCGAAAACCCUUACACGCCGGUUGGUUAAAAGUCCGGUCAGCGAAAGCUGGUGGGUUCCAACUGCAAAACAAUUAGGCGCCAAACCUGCGACUAGGGUAGGGAUCAAAAAUUACUAAAAAUGUCAGCCCCCUGUUAGGCCCCCUAAAACCACUAACCAAUUAAUCUUUUUUCAGGUAUCAGUUUGUUGUCAUUCCUUUUUUGAAUCGACAACCGCGAAUAUGCGACGCAAACUCGACGCUGUUGCGGCGGAUUAAGUGAUUUCUAAGAUCACUUGUUCGAUUAAUCUUGCGUUAAAGCAAGAUAUAGUUAGCUCCCAAAUCCGUUCUUAUGCAGUUUCCCCUAAAAAGUAUAGUUAUUGCGACGCGAUGCGACGGUUUGCGGCGGUAAAAGCGGUUCUAAAUAUUUAUUAUUAUUGUAUCGGCCCAUAGAGAAUGCUGUGUUGCUGUGCUUACUGUAUGGGGUGGGAUAUGGUGGUGUUGGGGGAUUGUGGUGUUUAUUGUAUGCAUUAAUACACACUUACACUACACACGAAGUGAACUGUUAUAUUCUGAUAAAUCCAUGGUUUGGACAUUCCUGUGACGUAAUGACGUCGGGAGUUUUAUUAUGUCCUAUUACUGGGUAUAUUACGUCAUGAUGACGUCAUAUUAUAACCUAACUGAUUAAAAUGAUAUUAUCGGCUCAAAGCCACGUCCUGAUGUAAAUGAAUUUAAACUAGUGCUUGUGUAUAAUAUAUAACUUUAUUCUAAUUUGAACGAAAUAAGUUGAUUUAAGAAUCCUGGGAUUACCGUUAAAACGCUCACAGAGGUUCACAGGUGUAAUAUUGCUAAUACUAAUUCUAAAUCUAUGUAUCUUCUACCUUCGUCUAAGUUGCCGAUGUUUGGUCCCUUGAUUGGGGUUGUCAUUGCGCCGGAUGAGAGGCUUGCAUGGGGUGUCGGACGUUUUUGUAUACAUGAUGUGCGAUUUAAUUCUCAAUCAUUGGCAAUUUUGUUUUUUUGCGUUCCGGACCGAUUUUCACGUAUUUUUUGUAUUUUUUUACUCGCUGGCGCUUUUUCUUUUUUUUAUUUUUUACGUUGCGCGGAGCUCCAUUUUGUUUUCGUUUUAAUUUUUUUUCUUUUCCUAAGCAAAAUUGCCAAUGAAUGAGAAUUGAUUUCGUACAGAUGUUAUGCGUGUUCGUAAUCUCUAUGCAACCUCUACUCCAAUGAUGUGGCAGUAACCCUGGAAGCCCACCUUACAAUUGGGGCUAUUUAACUAAAUUUAAGACUUAAGUCUGGUGACCAUAUUUAACUGUUGUGAUUAUUUCUAAGUAUUAAAGUAUUCUUGUUGGGGCCCACCUUACUAUUGGGGCUGUUAAGAACUAUCGAGGCUCUUUAAAUUUAUAUAAAUCUCAAGUCUGGGACCAUAUUUGGAUAUUAGGGUUAUUUAUAACUUUUGUGACAUUCUACUUUGCGGCCCACCUUACUAUUGGGGCUCUUUAACUCUAGGGAUGGUAAAUAACUAUUCGGUUCUUGGGAUUCCAUUUAACUAUUGUGAGGCUUUAUAGCCUGUCAAAUCAUGGUGACUGAGAAUUUACAGUUCUACACUUCAUUUUACACCAAAACACAUAAUACACAUACACCACAUACACCACAUACAAAUGUGAUGUGAUUGGUUAGGUGCUACAGCUCACCCCUUUUAUAUUUUAUAUCUUAAUACAUUGGAUCAGCCAAUGCCAGGUCAGAAGUGUGUCGUGUUCAAUUUAUUGUGUCCUGUGUCAAAUUUCUCACAGUACGCCCCCUAACGCGGUAAGCCACGUAUAACGAUGGUGUGUUGGGAGGUGUAAGUUCAGUUUAUGAGACGGUCAGUCCAGGUAUCCGUUCUGAAUUGUGUGUUGUGCGUGUUUCGCAAUUUCGGCGCUUCGAACACUUAGCACCGUUGGGUGGUGUCGAUCGCUGCUUAGCGGGCUAAGUAACCAGGUAUAACUAGGGCUACUGGCGAGAGGUCCUGGUAAAAAAACCUCAACGACCACAAGCGAAGCAGCCUCCUGGGCGUGGUUGGAAUCUUCGCUGUAAAAUAAACAUUUUAAUAUUAUAAAUAAAUAGACGUCUGGUGAAACUUUAUUGUACCAACAUUUCGUCUGUCAUAGACAUUCUAAUUAUCAGCCCUGUUGAUGUCUUGUCGUAUACGGCAGACGAAAUGUUCGUACAAUAAAUUUUGUUUACUGGAAGAGCUAUUUAUUUAUAAUAUUCCAUUAACAACAACGGGAUUGUUAAGUUCAUGCUGCUGCUGUUAAUGAAAAUUAUUAUUAAUUGGCUUUUAAGAUAAAAACACAAAAAAUAUUUCAUUUUAUUAUACCAACGUUCAAAUUCUGACACCUCGUACAUUAAAAUAAACAAUUUUAUAGAGCAGCAACCAAUUUGUACAUGGAGCAGUCCACUAAAAAGUUUUAAAUAAUAAAAAUAGUUUUGAAUGCGGAACGUCUUAACUAUAGAAACACAAUUACACUAAAAAACAAUUACACUCAAAGUUUAAAAAUAAAAAGCUAAUUAUUAACAUUUUUUUAAUAAACCAUAAACUUGUUUUUAGAACCCCAAAAAAACAGUUUCUGCUAGUAUGAUGCAUACAUAAUGGUGAUGCAGUUCUCUAUAUACGUAACUUUAUGUUUACAUAAUGGUGAUGAAGUUCUCUAUAUACGUAACUUUCUUGAGAGCUAGCAACUUGAUCCUUGUCUGAUCUCUGCUACAACGAACCUAUACUGUUGUCGGAUUUGACAAUUGUUGCAACAAGCCUCGAAUUACACUUAGUGCUACAUGGGCGCUGCAAUGGGUGUCUUUAUCACAAAAGUUAUUUAAAAAAAGCUAAAAUUUAGUAUCACAAAAGUUAUUUAAAAAAAGCUAAAAUUUAGUAUAGGAGAUACGAAUACAGACUGGUUUCGCGCUACAUGGGUGCUGUAGUAUAAUUGAAACCAUAGUUAUCUAUAUAGUUAUAUCACAAAAUUAUUUUAAAAACCACCUAAAAUUUAAAAUCUGAAUAAAUUCGAAUACAGACUGAUGUAAUAUCGCUUUGGCGAACUAUUGUAGUUGGACUCUAUAUUUGUUUGCUGUGUAAUAGCAUCCCGUAUAUUCCUAAUAUCGUUAACCGUAUAUUCCUAACAUCGUUAAAUGUAUGUUCGACCGUCUAGUAUUUAUUUAUACACGCAUACACGCAUUGCUACUAUCUGUUGAGAAUUAGAAUCCACUUUCGAGGUCGUCUGUGAAUCAACGGAAGCGUGGACGAAACAAGACCAAGGUAUUUCGAGGUAAAAUUUUUUGGACCGACACUAGAGGACCAGGGAAUUAUGGGCACCCGGUUGGUCCUUCCGGAGCGUUUUUUUUUGGGGGGGGGGGGGUAAUAUUUUAUUUCUACUGUGACCUUAGGGACAGCUCUGUAGGGGGAAUGUUAGUAGCUCUGUAGUGGGAAUGUUAACAGCUCUGUAGGAGAUCUGUAGGGGGAAUGUUAGUAAUGUGAAUAAAUGUAAUUUAUUUACCCCCACAUGGAGGGGCAGUGACAAUACUAGUUAUAGAACGGGUGUUUUGUUUCCUACACCUCGAGCCUUCGUACAGGUUACUUUGUGGGUGGUUAUUGAUUAUUUAGGUGAUUUAUUAUUUUUUGUUUUUAUGUAUGUGUAUGAAAAAAAGCAGUUGCCGUUAAGACCCUAAUUAAUGGCAGCAUUGAUAUGCCUUGUACCAAAAUAGAUUACAUUUCACACAUUAUUUAAUGACAUUCCCUAUGCUUAACAACUAUAGGUGAAUUAACUAUACCUGUAAGUGAAUUUAGGCAACGUCCUUUUUCAAUAUUUUUUUGUAUACUACCAUUAUGCUAAUCAUGAUAAUGCAUUUACCGAAUAAAUUUAAAGCAUUUUAAAUCUAAAUUUAAAAGAGUUCACAGGAUUUGUGAAUUAAAAAACAAGAUAUUUCUAAUAUCGUUUACUUGCUAUUAAAAAUAAGUUUCCGUGCUACCUCCCCAGUCAAAGAAAAAGGACUAAAAGUAGGAACAAAGAGAGCAUAGCUAUAAUGACUGGGCACGUAUCGAAAUAAGAGGUCAGCUAAAUAUUUUUAUGGUAGACACAUGUUUUUCUCUUAUCGUUCUGAUUCUUAUGUCAUGCUGAUUUAUUUUUAAUGUUUUUAUUUUCUCUUUUUUAGUCAUUUGUUAUAUUUUUCGUCCUUUUUUUAAAUCUCCAAGCAUUAUUAGUAAUGUCUGUAAAUAGAAGACAGCAACAAUGGAAGUGUGAAAUAUGUUUAAUAUUUUGGCGCUCCCCUUUAAGGCGUUUAUGAGAACGCGGCACAAUAAGAAAGACAGCAGAAAGAGCAGGUAAGAAGCAAAAACCUUACACGCUGGGGCAACACCUUUUAGAAGCGCACUGUGAUAAUGAGAAUGAUAAAAGCGACCGUGUAUGCAGAUACUGAAUACUCGACAGUUGUGUUGUAGACGAAUGGUUCAAUAAUGCAACGUAUACUGGCUACAUAGUGCACGGCGUCAUUAGAAAAGUCGAAUGAUUUGCGAAUACGGGGCUGUACACAAGCGAUAGUUUGCGAUAGGAAAUAUGAGAUAGUCUUUCUCAAAUGAACCAUGAGAGAAAAAGAAGAAAGGAUUCGAUUGCUGGUUACGCUGAACAUACUGUUCGUCAUUUUAUAUUCUUAUGGCUGUAGGGGAUUGAACAAUUGAAUUAUGUACAGAAACUAACGAAGAGGCUUCACAGUGGGCUGCAGAAGGGCUAUACAUGGCGACAUUAUAGCGCUGUACAAACGGUUGAUGACGUCAUUACCGAUGACGUCAUGGGCCCGAAGCGGUGACGUCAUAAGCAAGUGAUGGUGAAUUUAGCGAAGAUUGCGAAGGCUUUUACGACAAUUGAAAAAGGAAUAAAAAUGCGGCGCAAAGUAAACAUCAAAAAGUAAGUGAUGGUUGCACGUGGUGGAUUGGUUUGACGCAUAUGCAACGUGGUUUAAAGUCGGAGGUGUUAUAACGGGGUGAGGUAUGGCGACUUAAUAACGCUGUAUGCGUGGAUUUGAGGGUUAGAGGAGCCGAGAGAAUUCGAACUUCGACCAAACAUGAAUACACCUUUUGACCAGGCGAAUAUUGUGGCAACAUUAUGUACAAAGGUGGCGACAAAACAGUGCUGGUUGUUUAAUAUGCUAAGUUGGAUGGAGUCUUGUCUCAAUACACUUAUAAAGACAGCGGGACUUUGAUUAAUGUAAAUUUCAUUACAUGGAAUAGCGUUUUAACAAAAUCUACCACACAAAAA